rnacentral:lncRNA from 1 species
GUUUCAAUGGAUAGCUUUCGAUACAGUGAGAAACCACAGCUUGGCCAACACCCAGGCAUUCAGCAAUAAAAUUCUGGUGCUGUGACUUGGAUUGCAGUGCUUGUGGCUCAGUGGCCACAGGCUAGAGAGAUCUGGAAACCCUCCCAGCAGCUGCCCAGCUAUAUUCAUCCAGAGGCGGGUUUUUGUUUCUCUCUCUUCCCUCACUGCUGCUGGCCCCAACCAUAUUCUUGAUUACUUAUGAAGGACAGGCUUUGAAAUUUGACAUCUGUAUCCAUCAAGGUUGGAGUGCAGUGGCACGAUCUCAGCUCACUGAAAGCUCCGCCUCCCGGGUUCCCGCCAUUCUCCUGCCUCAGCCUCCCGAGUAGCUGGAACUACAGGCACCCGCCACCGCGCCUGGCUAAUUUUUUGUAUUUUUAGUAGAGACGGGGUUUCACCGUGUUAGCCAGGAUGGUCUCAAACUCCUGACCUCGUGAUCCGCCUGCCUCGCCUCCCAAAGUGCUGGAUUACAGGCGUGAGCCACCGCGCCCUGCCACAAGAGGGUAAGGAAACUGAAAUAUGACAAGGUUAAAUGAUUCAGAUGAGGGGCCGGAAAGCACGCCUCCCGAGACCCAUUCCUGGAAGCGGGUCUUUAAAGCUGCUCUCAGUUUAAAAUCAACCAAAUGCUCAGAUAUCAGAUGCGGAAACUGAGGCACAGGGAAUUUGAACAACUUGCUCAAGGUCAUAAAGCUAGAAGGAGGCACAGCCAAGCAUGGGCUUGUGUGACCUCAAAGCCUAUGUUCUCGCCACUGCUCUAAACUGUUUAUUCUGUUGGCUUGUCAUAAUGAUUGAAGACAAUGUAUAUAAAUCACAGAGGGUAGGACUCAGCUUGUAAUAUGUCCUCCAUACAUUUUAUCGAACAUUAUUAAUUAAUAAACAACAGAUAAAUAACAA